rnacentral:rRNA from 1 species
UACGUAGGAGGCGAGCGUUAUCCGGAUUUAUUGGGCGUAAAGGGGGCGCGGGCGGCUCUUCAAGUCGGAUGUGAAAUCUCCUGGCCUAACUGGGAGAGGCCAUUCGAAACUGUUGGGCUAGAGGGCAGCAGAGGGAGAUGGAAUUCCCGGUGUAGUGGUGAAAUGCGUAGAUAUCGGGAGGAACACCAGUGGCGAAAGCGGUCUCCUGGGCUGUUCCUGACGCUGAGGCCCGAAAGCGUGGGUAGCAAACAGG